rnacentral:rRNA from 1 species
AUGCAUUCUGGUCAGCUUCAUCCUGGAGGCGGCGACGACGUAGGCGACGCUCGUCUGGUGGAGCUACUGCCGAUGGUCGAGGCAUCGUCGGCAGUCUGCGCCAUCAGGCUUGGGGUGCUCAGGGGGAACCUCAGAUCUGGGUCUUCCGGAUCGGAUGAUGAUGUCGUUUUAUCGCUUUCCCUUCUGGGGGCAUCGUUUUGGAGCAAGUGCUGGCUGGAGGGAUGGUGGAGCGGUGCUUCAUCUCACACAUUGAUGGCGGCGGAGAUCGAUGGCAUGGCGCUGUGGAGACUCGACGUCCGAUGCGCGGAGAUGGACUCGCGCAGGAGGAGGUUGCUAUCUGGCGUCAUGGUGACGUCGAUGGCAGAGUGGCCAGACAAGGUAGAAGCCUCAAUAUGA